rnacentral:rRNA from 1 species
GAACCACCUGAUCCCUUCCCGAACUCAGAAGUGAAACCCCUCCGCGCCGAUGAUAGUGUGGCAUUCGCCAUGUGAAAGUAGGUCAUCGCCAGAC